rnacentral:ncRNA from 1 species
CGCGAGAAGUCCACUGAACCUUAUCAUUUAGAGGAAGGAGAAGUCGUAACAAGGUUUCCGUAGGUGAACCUGCAAAAGGAUCAUUG